AAUUUUUUCUAGUACCCCAAUCCUAAACUUAAACUUUUCUCACUUCCAAGAGCAACCCCAAACUUAAUAUUUUUCAUACACUUUAAGAACUUCACUUCUACCUAACUCCAAAGAGAGGGUGGAAAGAUAAGAUCUUUCAAGUCAUACGGCUAAAAAUUAAGGCUAAGUCACCGAAAGAAAGGCUAAGCUCAAAGUGGUU
rnacentral:lncRNA from 1 species